GAUGAACGCUGGCGGCGUGCCUAAUACAUGCGAGUCGAGCGAACAGACGAGGAGCUUGCUCCUCUGACGUUAGCGGCGGACGGGUGAGUAACACGUAGAUAACCUACCUAUAAGACUGGGAUAACUUCGGGAAACCGGAGCUAAUACCGGAUAAUAUAUUGAACCGCAUGGUUCAAUAGUGAAAGACGGUUUUGCUGUCACUUAUAGAUGGAUCCGCGCCGCAUUAGCUAGUUGGUAAGGUAACGGCUUACCAAGGCAACGAUGCGUAGCCGACCUGAGAGGGUGAUCGGCCACACUGGAACUGAGACACGGUCCAGACUCCUACGGGAGGCAGCAGUAGGGAAUCUUCCGCAAUGGGCGAAAGCCUGACGGAGCAACGCCGCGUGAGUGAUGAAGGUCUUCGGAUCGUAAAACUCUGUUAUUAGGGAAGAACAAAUGUGUAAGUAACUAUGCACGUCUUGACGGUACCUAAUCAGAAAGCCACGGCUAACUACGUG
rnacentral:rRNA from 1 species